AUUGAACGCUGGCGGCAGGCCUAACACAUGCAAGUCGAACGAGUGGCGGACGGGUGAGUAAUGUCUGGGAAACUGCCCGCUGGAGGGGGAUAACUACUGGAACCGGUAGCUAAUACCGCAUACAAUCGGAUGUGCCCAGAUGGUAUUAGCUUGUAGGUGAGGUAACGGUUAACCUAGACGACGAUCCCUAGCUGGUCUGAGAGGAUGACCAGCCCCACUGGAAAUGACACACGGUCCAGACUCCGACGGGAGGUAGCAGUGGGGAAUAUUUCACAAUGGGCGCAAGCCUGAUGCAGCCAUGCCGCGUGUAUGAAGAAGGCGUUCGGGUUGUAAAGUACUUUCAGCGGUGAGGCGUUACCCGCAGAAGAAGCACCGGCUCACUCCGUGCCAGCCGCGGCGGUAAUUC
rnacentral:rRNA from 1 species